CUGUCAGACCGACCUGAACACCAGCUGCAGCAUGACGUCUUCACAGAACAGACCGAUCAGAGUCCUGAACAGAGCCAGCGACACCGUACCCAACUGACGGACACACCAAAGCGUGUCCAGUAUGUGCACGUUGUCGUGCGUGUGCAGCAGGAUGAAGGACAGGAAGGUCUGCAGGAGGGCGGGCUCAGAGAUGGAGCGCAGGAACAGGUCCAGUCAACACCAACAGGAGUUAUCAGGAAAUACAGUGGCUGAUAGCGACGCUACCUUGUGAAGAGCAGGAGCCAGAACAGGCACCAGGAAG